AGAGUUUGAUCCUGGCUCAGGAUGAACGCUAGCUACAGGCUUAACACAUGCAAGUCGAGGGGCAGCAUGGUCUUAGCUUGCUAAGGCCGAUGGCGACCGGCGCACGGGUGAGUAACACGUAUCCAACCUGCCAUCUACUCUUGGACAGCCUUCUGAAAGGAAGAUUAAUACAAGAUGGCAUCAUGAGUCCGCAUGUUCACAUGAUUAAAGGUAUUCCGGUAGACGAUGGGGAUGCGUUCCAUUAGAUAGUAGGCGGGGUAACGGCCCACCUAGUCUUCGAUGGAUAGGGGUUCUGAGAGGAAGGUCCCCCACAUUGGAACUGAGACACGGUCCAAACUCCUACGGGAGGCAGCAGUGAGGAAUAUUGGUCAAUGGGCGAGAGCCUGAACCAGCCAAGUAGCGUGAAGGAUGACUGCCCUAUGGGUUGUAAACUUCUUUUAUAAAGGAAUAAAGUCGGGUAUGCAUACCCGUUUGCAUGUACUUUAUGAAUAAGGAUCGGCUAACUCCGUGCCAGCAGCCGCGGUAAUACGGAGGAUCCGAGCGUUAUCCGGAUUUAUUGGGUCUAAAGGGAGCGUAGAUGGAUGUUUAAGUCAGUUGUGAAAGUUUGCGGCUCAACCGUAAAAUUGCAGUUGAUACUGGAUAUCUUGAGUGCAGUUGAGGCAGGCGGAAUUCGUGGUGUAGCGGUGAAAUGCUUAGAUAUCACGAAGAACUCCGAUUGCGAAGGCAGCCUGCUAAGCUGCAACUGACAUUGAGGCUCGAAAGUGUGGGUAUCAAACAGGAUUAGAUACCCUGGUAGUCCACACGGUAAACGAUGAAUACUCGCUGUUUGCGAUAUACAGCAAGCGGCCAAGCGAAAGCGUUAAGUAUUCCACCUGGGGAGUACGCCGGCAACGGUGAAACUCAAAGGAAUUGACGGGGGCCCGCACAAGCGGAGGAACAUGUGGUUUAAUUCGAUGAUACGCGAGGAACCUUACCCGGGCUUAAAUUGCAGAUGAAUUACGGUGAAAGCCGUAAGCCGCAAGGCAUCUGUGAAGGUGCUGCAUGGUUGUCGUCAGCUCGUGCCGUGAGGUGUCGGCUUAAGUGCCAUAACGAGCGCAACCCUUGUUGUCAGUUACUAACAGGUCAUGCUGAGGACUCUGACAAGACUGCCAUCGUAAGAUGUGAGGAAGGUGGGGAUGACGUCAAAUCAGCACGGCCCUUACGUCCGGGGCUACACACGUGUUACAAUGGGGGGUACAGAGGGCCGCUACCACGCGAGUGGAUGCCAAUCCCCAAAACCUCUCUCAGUUCGGACUGGAGUCUGCAACCCGACUCCACGAAGCUGGAUUCGCUAGUAAUCGCGCAUCAGCCACGGCGCGGUGAAUACGUUCCCGGGCCUUGUACACACCGCCCGUCAAGCCAUGGGAGCCGGGGGUACCUGAAGUGCGUAACCGCGAGGAGCGCCCUAGGGUAAAACUGGUGACUGGGGCUAAGUCGUAACAAGGUA
rnacentral:rRNA from 1 species